GUCACUGGAUAGCUCAGCUGGUUAGAGCGUGGCACCAGUAAUGUCAAGGUUGCAGGUUUGAUCCCCAUAUGGGACA